GGGCUCAUAGCUCAACGGUUAGAGCACGCGGCUCAUAACCGCAUGGUUGCAGGUUCGAAUCCUGCUGGGCCCA
rnacentral:tRNA from 2 species